AUCAGAACCACACGCACCUCGUCGCGACUGAACAGCGCAUACGAUCCCAGCCCGGUCUGACGUACUCACCGGAGGAGAGAUCAGACUCAGAGUGACAUGGCGACGGCCACCGUUCGCCUCUCCACCGGCCGGCUGCUGGCGCUGGCCGUGGUGCUGUGCGCGGUCAUGGCGGGCGAGUCCGCCAAGGCGAGGUACAUCUCGUUCGACGCUCUGAGGGCCGGCCAUCCCCUCGUACAUGGUGGCGGUGCCCCGGCGCCGGCCCCUGUAAGCGCCGGAGGGAACAAGGCCCCGGCCGCCCUCGAGGUUGCCGCCAUGGGUGAGACUGCUGCCGCGGCAGCGGCCCGGCUGAUGGAAGGUGGCGCCAUCGUCCUCCGUCACCAGCUCCACGCUUAGCUGCAUGCCCUGCUCCUCACUUGUCCUUGAUGCUGCUACUACUACUUCGCUGUACGUACGUACUCCUAUAAGUAAAUAAAAGUCCACCCUGGUUGUGGCGUGUCAAUGUGUGUUACCAAUGCAAGUGAGAGGGAAAGGUUCACGAUCGACCGCAUUGCGGAUCCAAGCUUGUUAAUUAUGAAUGAUGUAGGUGUAAUCCUCAUGUCUACAUACGUGACCGUUAUACAACCUCUUCAGCCUUGAA